AUUACUAAACAUCAUUUACAAGUCAACUGGCUUUGUUUAUUCAAACAUUUAUUUCAACUUUUUCCUAUAUUUAUCUUUUUGCAAAUUUAGCUUGAAAAUAAAUCAUUUAAGGCGAAGAAGUGCACAUUUGGAUUUAAGAGGUUUGGGGCAACAAAGUUAUCUCGGAUGCGAGGAUGUUUUUUUUUUCAAAUUAAAAACCGGCUUAUUCAUAGAGGUGUACAGUCAAAGAUCUAUUUUACCCUUUUUUGCCCUGGAAUUUUCACCUUUAAUUUGAGCUUAAAUAAGUUUUUCAUAAAUAUUUAUUGCCUCUCCCAUCCCAACAAAAAUACACUAAAGUACAGAUCUGAGACUAUUUGCAGUCAAUAGAAUAUUUCUAAAACUCAGAAUGGUUUAAAAAAAAACCUGCAUGUAUGUUUUUGUUUGGUUUUGUUUUGAUUAUGCGGAAGACAUUUCUAACGGAAGUUCACAGCCGAUAGUCCAAAAUUAAUGAAUAAAUAAGCGCUCCCU
rnacentral:lncRNA from 1 species